rnacentral:rRNA from 1 species
GAUGAACGCUAGCGGCAGGCUUAAUACAUGCAAGUCGAGGGGCAGCAUGAGUGUAGCAAUACAUUUGAUGGCGACCGGCAAACGGGUGCGGAACACGUACACAACCUUCCUAUAAGUGGGGAAUAGCCCAGAGAAAUUUGGAUUAAUACCCCGUAACAUAAUGAUGUGGCAUCACAUUAUUAUUAUAGCUACGGCGCUUAUUGAUGGGUGUGCGGCUGAUUAGAUAGUUGGCGGGGUAACGGCCCACCAAGUCUACGAUCAGUAGCUGAUGUGAGAGCAUGAUCAGCCACACGGGCACUGAGAGACGGGCCCGACUCCUACGGGAGGCAGCAGUAAGGAAUAUUGGUCAAUGGACGCAAGUCUGAACCAGCCAUGCCGCGUGAAGGAUUAAGGUCCUCUGGAUUGUAAACUUCUUUUAUCUGGGACGAAAAAAGGCGAUUCUUCGUCACUUGACGGUACCAGAUGAAUAAGCACCGGCUAACUCCGUGCCAGCCGCCGCGGUAAAAC